AUGCCUUUGGGUUGCAUCAUGUCCUUCCAAGAAACCCAGUGUGGCUUUCACUGUCCAUCUAUACUUCCCCACCAAAAUUUCCUGAUUAACAUGUUUAGUUUCCCACAUAGACCCCUUGAAAGCUUGAAGCAAGACAUAGAGUAUACGGGCACAACUUGGGCUACUGACUUUACCAAAUUUUCUUUCCCAGACAUUGACAUAGUUCUUUCAAUCUAUCCCUGGACCCUGCUCCAUAAGCGAUCCUUUAAGUAUUUAAAUGCCCCAUUCGUGGAUGACCUCGCAUCAGAUGGCAUCCCAAGAUAUUUUUCGUUCAAUGUCUCGUUUGCAACUUGUAGCAAGCCCUUUAUGUCCGUCCUAAUAUUUUUAGGGACACCUUUACUGAAGUAG
rnacentral:rRNA from 1 species